UACGGGGGGGCAAGCGUUGUUCGGAAUUACUGGGCGUAAAGGGCUCGUAGGCGGCCAACUAAGUCGGACGUGAAAUCCCCAGGCUCAACCUGGGAACUGCAUCCGAUACUGGAUGGCUUGAAUUCGGGAGAGGGAUGCAGAAUUCCAGGUGUAGCGGUGAAAUGCGUAGAUAUCUGGAGGAACACCGGUGGCGAAGGCGGCAUCCUGGACCAACACUGACACUGAGGAGCGAAAGCCAGGGGAGCAAACGGG
rnacentral:rRNA from 1 species